GUUAAGCGACUAAGCGUACACGGUGGAUGCCCUGGCAGUCAGAGGCGAUGAAGGACGUGCUAAUCUGCGAUAAGCGUCGGUAAGGUGAUAUGAACCGUUAUAACCGGCGAUUUCCGAAUGGGGAAACCCAGUGUGUUUCGACACACUAUCAUUAACUGAAUCCAUAGGUUAAUGAGGCGAACCGGGGGAACUGAAACAUCUAAGUACCCCGAGGAAAAGAAAUCAACCGAGAUUCCCCCAGUAGCGGCGAGCGAACGGGGAGCAGCCCAGAGCCUGAAUCAGUGUGUGUGUUAGUGGAAGCGUCUGGAAAGGCGCGCGAUACAGGGUGACAGCCCCGUACACAAAAAUGCACAUGCUGUGAGCUCGAUGAGUAGGGCGGGACACGUGGUAUCCUGUCUGAAUAUGGGGGGACCAUCCUCCAAGGCUAAAUACUCCUGACUGACCGAUAGUGAACCAGUACCGUGAGGGAAAGGCGAAAAGAACCCCGGCGAGGGGAGUGAAAAAGAACCUGAAACCGUGUACGUACAAGCAGUGGGAGCACGCUUAGGCGUGUGACUGCGUACCUUUUGUAUAAUGGGUCAGCGACUUAUAUUCUGUAGCAAGGUUAACCGAAUAGGGGAGCCGAAGGGAAACCGAGUCUUAACUGGGCGUUAAGUUGCAGGGUAUAGACCCGAAACCCGGUGAUCUAGCCAUGGGCAGGUUGAAGGUUGGGUAACACUAACUGGAGGACCGAACCGACUAAUGUUGAAAAAUUAGCGGAUGACUUGUGGCUGGGGGUGAAAGGCCAAUCAAACCGGGAGAUAGCUGGUUCUCCCCGAAAGCUAUUUAGGUAGCGCCUCGUGAAUUCAUCUCCGGGGGUAGAGCACUGUUUCGGCAAGGGGGUCAUCCCGACUUACCAACCCGAUGCAAACUGCGAAUACCGGAGAAUGUUAUCACGGGAGACACACGGCGGGUGCUAACGUCCGUCGUGAAGAGGGAAACAACCCAGACCGCCAGCUAAGGUCCCAAAGUCAUGGUUAAGUGGGAAACGAUGUGGGAAGGCCCAGACAGCCAGGAUGUUGGCUUAGAAGCAGCCAUCAUUUAAAGAAAGCGUAAUAGCUCACUGGUCGAGUCGGCCUGCGCGGAAGAUGUAACGGGGCUAAACCAUGCACCGAAGCUGCGGCAGCGACACUAUGUGUUGUUGGGUAGGGGAGCGUUCUGUAAGCCUGUGAAGGUGUGCUGUGAGGCAUGCUGGAGGUAUCAGAAGUGCGAAUGCUGACAUAAGUAACGAUA
rnacentral:rRNA from 1 species